rnacentral:lncRNA from 1 species
CCCAAGCUUACCCUUUGCUCAUCUCUGAGCAAAGAUAAAUUCAGUAAUGGAUCAGGAGUUGCUACAAUGCUUUCACGCCUCAAAAGUACACAAGCAUUCAAACAAGAACUCUCCUCCGAAAUAAAGUGAACUAUUCUGACUUGAAACUUACUCAUAUUACCUUCCACCAUGGGGCUUGUAACCAUCACUUGGGUCUUGAGUAGUUGAAAGACAGAACCGUCAAGUCAAGUGUUAUAUUUCUCGCUCUUUGAUCAACUAUUAUUCUAGAGUUUUUGUAAGAUUUUCAAAUAAAACUUAGAGUUUCCUUGUAUGACCCUUUCAAGUCUCUUAUUUGUGAUAUUUCUAGAUCCUUACCAAGGCAUGAAUGGUAUAUGCCUUUUCUCUACUCUCUGAAUAUGUGGUAUUUGUGGAAUUAAGGCAUAGUGGCAUUAUGCCCUCUGCCUCUCACCCUACAUCUAAUAGGCUUAUGUGGAGCUCAUAGGUGGGGAGACUGCUCAAACAUACUUGCGAACAUAUGUUGUAUAGUUAAACCAUAGAUCCAAAGAAACUAGUCAUACAAUCAAAUCAUAUGUGCAUGUGAAUAAGAGGAGUGAAGCAAGUGAUAUAAAUGGUGAUGAUGAUAGUGGUGGAGAUCUAAUUCUACAUUGGCUCCUUGGUGAUAACAUACCUCCCUUAUUUGGAAAUUUAAGACCUUGGAGGAACUUGGCUUUCUCACUCUUUUUUUCUUUCUUGGGACAUUUGUCCUCUUUUUUUCUUUUUUUUGUAAGAGCAACCAAGCCUCUUACUAGAAAUAUAUUAAUAGGAAGUGAUAAUUGGAGUAACCAGAGCUUUAUUGGAUGACAAAAAAAGGAUAGGAUGGCGACAUAUAUCUUUGGUGUUCACUCCUAGUGUAGGAGUAGAACAUUUUCUAAAUGAAUGAAGUGAAUGCAUGUGAAUAAAGGAUGCGUACUCCCAGGGUAGGAGCAGCAUAGGUGUGUGGAGUGUGUAUAUAUGUGGGUGGUACUUUCAAGAACAGAAGUGGUACAGAGUGAAUGGGGGCGUACUUCUGAGGACAAAAGCAGUAUAGGUCAAUGGAUGGAGAGCACAUAAUAUUACUUUAACUACAUGACUAAUUCCUAAGGGUCAACACAACUUAACUACACGCAGUGCCUACAAGCAGUAUAUGGAAGUGGAUGGCUUUCCUAAUCUAGUAAGCAUGUAUAUUUGGCUGUGGUAGGGAUUUUGAACUCUAGUCAUACAGGAACUCAUCAUGCAACAAUUUAAGAUUUUCAAAGAUAAAUUCUCUAGAACUCUAGUAUCUCUAGGAACAAGAUGGAUAACAGCUCAAAACCUUCCCAUAUCAUAGCCAUCAACUGCCUAGACUUAGAUCAAGCAGUUGCUACCCACAAGUUUCAGAUUCAGAGCAGACCUCAAAUCAAAACAGUGGUUUCAAAACUCAGGAGAGUUCGAGGGUG